CCUACAAUUUACUCUCCGCUACCGUCAAAGCUGUCGGCUGCGAUGUAACUCAGCAGCUGUUGCGCUCCUUUGUCAUCACUCAUUUACGCCUGAAGAAGCCUUCUACUCUCCGUGGCAUUCGAAAAUGAGGUCUCUCACAGAUAAUGAAACGAAAAAGCUCUUUGACAAGCUUGCACAGUACAUCGGGGUCAACACAACACAUUUGCUGGAGCGAAAAGGCGAGGAGGAGCACGUCUUUCGCCUCCACAAGAAUCGUAUUUGGUACAUGCCUCUGCGUCUCGCAAAGCUUGCAAGCUGUGUGUCCAAGACAAAUCUAAUGGGUAUCGGCGUUUUAUUCGCCAAGGUUACUCACAACGGAAACGUACGCAUUCAGGUGACAGCGCUAGAGUACAUCGCGCAGUACUCACUCUUUAAGAUUUGGGUAAAGCCGAACCAGGAGCAGAGGUUCCUGUACGGUGGAAACGUCAGUCGCGCAGGCCUUGGCCGUAUCACCGAGUCGACACCGAAGUACCAAAAGGUCGCCGUCUUUUCAAUGGGCGACAUCCCAUUAGGUUUCGGUGUCGCGGCCCAAAGCACGCUUGAGUGCCGAAAGUGCGAAAUGAACUCGCAGGUGCUUUUUCAUGAGGCGGAUGUUGGUGAGUACUUGCGUGAUGAGGCUCGCAUGACAUAGGAGGAUCCCUUUAGCGAAGAAGCGGCUCUGCGUUCCACAGGCGCUUCCCGAGUCUCUCGUGGUUUGCAGAAGAGAGUUUGUCUGUUUAUCUGACAGGCGGUUACGUGUGUGCGGCAGUGCACGUACCCUCUUGACGGCAACGUUUAAUGCUGUUAAUGCCCUGUAAAAUGAAAGAAAAAGGUUUAAGCAGAGCGUGUCUGACGCUAGCGUCAGACACUUUUUCCUUCUUUUUUUUUUCUGAGGAUCCAAAUCACCGUGAGCACUUCUCUCUGUUAGAUCACUGCUCUUGUGCUUCCUCGUGAGACAGGCGACUCAAAGGGUUACGCAGUAGAGGCUGUUUGGCGGCACCACGAUUGCGCAUUGAGUAUGGGCAUUCUGUGAGGCGUUUAUAUGAUGAUUCUGUGGAACUUUCUCUUCCUUUCUUUCGUGCUGCCUUUUACGUGUUCAUACCGCUUCGCUCUCCGCUGUUUGGUUUGCUUGCGCAUGGUUUUCCUUAG
rnacentral:misc_RNA from 1 species